UUUAUGCUAAAUAUAUGUUUUUGUUCCUCCACAAAAACCCUGAAAACUCAUCGUUUUACAAUGUGAAGGCCAAUUCAAUCGAAACUACUGUUGAAAGGAGGUUCGCUUUGUCAAGCAGCAGUUAAAUAUUUGGACUUUGUCUUGUGGGAGAUGAUAUUUUUCAUAUAUAAAGCUUACCUUCUUCGAUGACCGUGAGUGGUUGCUUAUGUUCUUGAAAAGCGAAGAUUUAAAACAGAUCGAUAACAUAUGCAUGCAUGCAGGGCCAGGCUCAGGGCCAAAGAGAAGUACCAUGAACAACUCUUAGUUGUAAGCCUUGCAAAAUAGAUGACUGGGGAAACUAAAGUUAUGAUAGCGUAUAAUGCUACUAAUUGUCAUUCUGGAUUGAAAAGUUCUAUGACUGGAGCUUACAAUUAAUAUGUAGCACUACGUAAUAUCAAUAAAAUAAGAGGCCCCUCAAGAUAAAGGAUGGUGAAGACUACUGUCAGGAACUUGUGGAUUCUCAAAUAAGAAGGUCAAAUCAAAUGCAUCUUUUGAUUUAUGGUAUUAGGAUGACUUGAAGCUAGACGAUUUGCUGCUUUGCUGUUUUGAAAAAGUGAUUGGUCUCCCUCCUUGUUCUAUAAUGGCAGCUAUUAGCUGGUUGGAUUAUGUGAGAUUAUUGAAUGAAGAUAGAAGGCUUUGGAAUUUAAAAGGGCUAUAAAUGACUGAAAUAUUUAUGUACCCAUUUCUUUGAACAGUUACUGAGAUUUGGAAUGAGUUUACUUACUUCAUGUGCAACACUCGUAUUUAAUUUAGGAUGGGAGGUUUGAAAUUUCUGAGCACUUUAUANGUUGGAAUUUUCAUGGCCAGUUUGAUGGUUUGUUUUAUUGAAGUGUGGUACAUGUGUGGGAGCUCAUUGAAGGCUAAAUAAACUUAUUGUGCUCUGACGAUUCAAAAUAUUUUUAGUCAUCAACCAAUUUUUUGUAAACUAGCUAAGAAUAGANCUAAUCGGCUAACGUGUUGCUAUAAAUGUUUCAACCCAAUUCAAACCACAUGAGACUAAGUUUCAUUGUUCCUUAUUUUUUGGUUUCACAGUUGAAUCUGUAGAGACAAACGCUUCUAUUCCCAGAAGGUUUGAAUUGGGUGGUAACGUACAUAGCAACACGUUAGCCNAUUAAGUCUAUUUCCUCAGGCAUGAACCAAACCAAAAAAGUAGAGGUAUUUGCUUUUGUUCCCAAUGUUCUGCUACAGUAAUGUCUACUAUUUCAUGAAAAUUUGCAGCAAAAUACCAGCAAUUAGGUAGACAAUACAUAUCUUUGGUUUUGUUUCCCAGAUACAUGUAUAUGGCUUGCACUCCAUGACCAAAUCCACAUUACUGGAAAGUCACAUAAUUUCUACCUGUUGAUUAGGAAUAUUGAAAUAAUUUUGGUUUUCCCUCUAGUUUCCCAGCUAGUACCUCAUUAAAUUCCUGUUGAAGCUAGCAAUGAGAAGAAAUUACUAUACAUGUUACAAGCACAUAAAUACAUUGGCAUGUUUUAAAAGAUGUUAUGAACACCUAUUUAACAUUGGGGAUACUGUCAUAUAGCAUAUUACUUAUGUGCAGAGGGCUAUAAAAAUGCUUCUGUUUGACCCUUCUUCAUUAAUAAAUUCCAUGUUCCUUUUUUCAA
rnacentral:lncRNA from 1 species